rnacentral:rRNA from 1 species
AUUGAACGCUGGCGGCAUGCUUUACACAUGCAAGUCGAACGGUAACAGGCCUUCGGGUGCUGACGAGUGGCGAACGGGUGAGUAAUGCAUCGGAACGUACCCAGAGGUGGGGGAUAACGCAGCGAAAGCUGUGCUAAUACCGCAUGUGAUCUGAGGAUGAAAGCGGGGGACCGAGCAGCAAUGUUUGGCCUCGCGCCUUUGGAGCGGCCGAUGUCGGAUUAGCUAGUUGGUGGGGUAAAGGCCUACCAAGGCGACGAUCCGUAGCUGGUCUGAGAGGACGACCAGCCACACUGGGACUGGGACACGGCCCAGACUCCUGAGGGAGGCAGCAGUGGGGAAUGUUGGACAAUGGGCGCAAGCCUGAUCCAGCAAUGCCGCGUGCGGGAAGAAGGCCUUCGGGUUGUAAACCGCUUUUGGCAGGAACGAAACGGUGUCCGCUAAUACCGGGCGCUAAUGACGGUACCUGCAGAAUAAGCACCGGCUAACUACGUG